rnacentral:rRNA from 1 species
AGGAUUCCCCUAGUAAUGGCGAAUGAAGCGGGAACAGCUCAAAUUUGAAAUCUCCGUUGCUUGCAACGGCGAAUUGUAGUUUCGAGAAGCACUUUCUCGGCGGAUCCGGAGUCGUCCAAGUUGCUUGGAACAGCACGUCAUAGAGGGUGACAACCCCGUCUGUGGCGAGUCCGGCCGUUCACGAUGUGCUUUCAACGAGUCGGGUUGUUUGGGAAUGCAGCCCAAAAUGGGUGGUAAACUCCAUCUAAAGCUAAAUAUUGGCACGAGACCGAUAGCGAACAAGUACCGUGAGGGAAAGAUGAAAAGCACUUUGAAAAGAGAGUUAAAAAGUACGUGAAACCGUUAAAAGGGAAACGAAUGGGGUUAGCAAUGCUUUGUGCGAGAUUCAGCCGGCUGGUGGGGCAGGCGGGUGGUUUGCGGAUCUGAAUGGACCGCGGCCGCUCGGUUUGCCUUCCCGACCGUCGCACUUCUCGCCAGAGCGCGCCAACGUCGGUUGGGACUGGGUUUCAAAGGCGACGGAAAGGUAGGUUCGACCCUUCGGGGAAGAACUGUUAUAGUCCGCCGUUAGAUGGCCCGGGCCCGACCGAGGAGCUUGCGGUGCAUGCCGUAUGGCUAGGGUCCCGACGUUUCGGCUGGUUGUCGAAUGCGGUGGACUGCAUGCAGUGCGCUGCGACUGCUGCCGGUCGCGACGGCGGUGACUUCAUACUAUGCGCCCACGACGUUGGCGGUCAUAUGGCCUCAUCCGACCCGUCUUGAAACACGGACCAAGGAGUCUAACAUGUGUGCGAGUCUUUGAGUGAUUGAAACUGCGAGGCGUAAUGAAAGUGAAGGCGGCUUUUGUCGCUGAGGUGAGACCCUUCUCUCCGGGGGAGGUGCAUCAUCGACCGACCUAUUCUACUCUUAGAAAGGUUUGAGUAAGAGCGCAUCUGUUGGGACCCGAAAGAUGGUGAACUAUGCCUGAAUAGGGUGAAGCCAGAGGAAACUCUGGUGGAGGCUCGUAGCGAUUCUGACGUGCAAAUCGAUCGUCAAAUUUGGGUAUAGGGGCGAAAGACUAAUCGAACUGUCUAGUAGCUGGUUCCCUCCGAAGUUUCCCUCAGGAUAGCUGGAACUCAUGGCAGUUUUAUCAGGUAAAGCGAAUGAUUAGAGGUCUUAGGGUUAAAACAACCUUAACCUAUUCUCAAACUUUAAAUUGGUAAGAAGUCCGACUUGCUUAAUUGAAGCCGGACAGUGAAUGCGAGUUUCUAGUGGGCCAUUUUUGGUAAGCAGAACUGGCGAUGCGGGAUGAACCGAACGCGCGGUUAAGGUGCCAAAGUCGACGCUCAUCAGACCCCACAAAAGGUGUUGGUUGCUCUAGACAGCAGGACGGUGGCCAUGGAAGUUGGAAUCCGCUAAGGAGUGUGUAACAACUCACCUGCCGAAGCAACUAGCCCUGAAAAUGGAUGGCGCUCAAGCGUCGCACCUAUACCGUGCCGUUGGGGUAAAUGCGAAGCUCCAACGAGUAGGAGGGCGUGGGGGUCGUGACGCAGCCUUUGGCGUGAGCCUGGGUGAAACGGCCUCCAGUGCAGAUCUUGGUG